UACGAAGGGGGCUAGCGUUGUUCGGAAUUACUGGGCGUAAAGCGCACGCAGGCGGAUUUAUAAGUCAGGGGUGAAAUCCCGGGGCUCAACCUCGGAAUUGCCUUUGAUACUGUCUAUCUUGAGUCCGGGAGAGGUGAGUGGACUUCCUAGUGUAGAGGUGAAAUUCGUAGAUAUUAGGAAGAACACCAGUUGCGAAGGCGGCUCACUGGCCCGGUACUGACGCUCAUGUGCGAAAGCGUGGGGAGCAAACAUG
rnacentral:rRNA from 1 species